GCCAAGUGUUUACCAGACCCUUCCAACUUGGUCAGAUGCAAUCUCCAAAUUUUGUCUUCCGUGCAGUGGACGGCAGAGAAUUUACUGCUCAGCCUUUACAAGUUUCCAGCUACCACUUUUUGUGGGUCCGCUUGCUGUCUUGUCUAGGCAAGCACAGUUCAGGGUUCAGUCCGCAGCACAUGAUCGAUCACUCAGUCACAUUCUCUUCCGUCUUGUUCAUUAUCAUUUCAUCACUGGCUAAGCUGGGGCCCCACUGCAUUUUCCAUCAACAGAGAGGAUGAGACUGGAUGUCCUUGAAACUUUCCUCCAGCCUGGAAAAUUCUGAUUAUGUGUCACAGUUCUUUUCUUCUUGGAUUCUCAACUUCUUGAGACAGGACUGUUGUGGACAAGAGCAAAUGACAAACGAGAUAGUCAUGGACCUGCUGUGAUAAACCAUACAUUCUGGUGGGACAGAGAAACAGUAAGAAAAAAAAAAAAACUCCACUAAGAAAAUAAAAUGUCCAUGAAGAAAAUGAAAUGGUGCGUGGGGAUAGAAAGAAGAGAGGUGGAAACGGAACUGGAUAAGAACAGAUGGUCACGGCAGCCCCUGUGAAGACAACAUUUGAACUGAGACCGAAAUGGCCAGAAGAACCAGCCAUCUGCUACUAUUUGGAGAACAGCACCAGCCAUUC